UCCCAUAUAGUCUAGGGGUUAGGAUAGCUGGCUCUUACCCAGGAGACUCGGGGUCGAGUGCCAGUGUGUGUA